rnacentral:rRNA from 1 species
UGAGGAAUAUUGGUCAAUGGACGAGAGUCUGAACCAGCCAAGUAGCGUGCAGGAAGACGGCCCUAUGGGUUGUAAACUGCUUUUAUAAGGGAAUAAAGUGAGUCUCGUGAGACUUUUUGCAUGUACCUUAUGAAUAAGGACCGGCUAAUUCCGUGCCAGCAGCCGCGGUAAUACGGAAGGUCCGGGCGUUAUCCGGAUUUAUUGGGUUUAAAGGGAGCGUAGGCCGGAGAUUAAGCGUGUUGUGAAAUGUAGAUGCUUAACAUCUGAACUGCAGCGCGAACUGGUUUCCUUGAGUACGCACAAAGUGGGCGGAAUUCGUGGUGUAGCGGUGAAAUGCUUAGAUAUCACGAAGAACUCCGAUUGCGAAGGCAGCUCACUGGAGCGCAACUGACGCUGAAGCUCGAAAGUGCGGGUAUCGAACAGGAUUAGAUACCCUGGUAGUCCGCACGGUAAACGAUGGAUGCCCGCUGUUGGUCUGAAUAGGUCAGCGGCCAAGCGAAAGCAUUAAGCAUCCCACCUGGGGAGUACGCCGGCAACGGUGAAACUCAAAGGAAUUGACGGGGGCCCGCACAAGCGGAGGAACAUGUGGUUUAAUUCGAUGAUACGCGAGGAACCUUACCCGGGCUUGAAUUGCAGAGGAAGGAUUUGGAGACAAUGACGCCCUUCGGGGUCUCUGUGAAGGUGCUGCAUGGUUGUCGUCAGCUCGUGCCGUGAGGUGUCGGCUUAAGUGCCAUAACGAGCGCAACCCCUCUCCUUAGUUGCCAUCAGGUUAAGCUGGGCACUCUGGGGACACUGCCACCGUAAGGUGUGAGGAAGGUGGGGAUGACGUCAAAUCAGCACGGCCCUUACGUCCGGGGCUACACACGUGUUACAAUGGCAGGUACAGAGAGACGGUCCCUUGCAAAAUGGAUCAAAUCCUUAAAGCCUGUCUCAGUUCGGACUGGGGUCUGCAACCCGACCCCACGAAGCUGGAUUCGCUAGUAAUCGCGCAUCAGCCAUGGCGCGGUGAAUACGUUCCC